CUGAUAGUGGAGGUUGCUGCAUCCUAGGCUCAAGACCUCAUGAGGUUCUCCUGGGCCCACUGCUCUAGCCUGUCUAGGUCUCUCUGGAUGACAUCCCAUCCUUUAGGAAAUUAGAUGAAAAGACCAACAAAUGAUUCACAGAAGCUGCUGGAUGAAUAAUUGGAGUGGAGAAGCAAGGACUGAAAGAGAGGAAAAGUAGCUGUCUUUAUCUAUCUAUAAAGAUAGAUGCUAUCUGUCCCGAAAGAUAAUAACUGAUGCUAUCUAUAGAAAGCAUCAUCAUCUGUAACCAUCUUUCUCUCAAAAUUUAAUUUGGUGUUCAUAAUUGAAUCUGCAGUAUACAGUACAAAAUAUACAGACCUGACAAUCGGAAUGAACUAACAAUGCUUUUGGAUCCUUUACUUGGGAAUUUUGGGGAUUUUGCUGUUUUCAGCAUGCAAGCUUAACACUACGUCACUGUGUUUGCAGCAUAUUUGUGCAUGUGACAAAAGCUGCUACAUGUAGAGCUUUGCAAUGUCACAGCUGUUGGUUUGGUAGAGAAAAAAA